rnacentral:SRP_RNA from 7 species
GCACGCCUGUAGUCCCAGCUACUCGGGAGGCUGAGACAGGAGGAUCGCUUGAGUCCAGGAGUUCUGGGCUGUAGUGCGCUAUGCCGAUCGGGUGUCCGCACUAAGUUCGGCAUCAAUAUGGUGACCUCCCGGGAGCGGGGGACCACCAGGUUGCCUAAGGAGGGGUGAACCGGCCCAGGUCGGAAACGGAGCAGGUCAAAACUCCCGUGCUGAUCAGUAGUGGGAUCGCGCCUGUGAAUAGCCACUGCACUCCAGCCUGGGCAACAUAGCGAGACCCCGUCUCU